rnacentral:rRNA from 1 species
UACGAAGGGGGCUAGCGUUGCUCGGAAUCACUGGGCGUAAAGGGUGCGUAGGCGGGUCUUUAAGUCAGGGGUGAAAUCCUGGAGCUCAACUCCAGAACUGCCUUUGAUACUGAAGAUCUUGAGUUCGGGAGAGGUGAGUGGAACUGCGAGUGUAGAGGUGAAAUUCGUAGAUAUUAGGAAGAACACCGGUGGCGAAGGCGGCUCACUGGUCCGGUACUGACGCUGAGGUGCGAAAGCGUGGGGAGCAAACAGG